GCCUGGGUGGCUCAGUCGGUUGAGCAUCUGACUUCGGCUCAGGUCGUGAUCUUGCGGUCUGUGAGUUCGAGCCCUGCGUCAGGCU
rnacentral:tRNA from 1 species